CCGGCCACCGCCCCAGCCUGUCGAUCUCAUCUCCCUGUGAUUUUUUAUCAGCUGUCGGGGGGAGAAAAAUCUUCCCUGUUCUUAUCCCCUCGUCGCCCUGCUCAGAUUUUCUAGCCACCGCUGUACUGAUAUUUUGGCGCGCGAUGCCUAUUCCUUGCGCGCUCCUCUCUGCCGAGCGGCUUCUUCACGCGUGUCUCUCUCUCCCUGGUGCCUGCUCGCGACAAGCUCCUGCUCCCUUCCGUGGUCGCGUGCUCAGCUCUACUGCAGGCCGCGCCCAGCUUCUCUCCCUCGGCGCUCACAGCUCUCUCUCUCCCCUAGUCCCUGCCAUGGCCGCCGUUCCCUGGUCGGAGUUUCUUCUAGCUCGGAUCUCCUCCCUACGGCGCCCGAGCUCCAUGGCUGCUGCGUUCUUCAGCCGACGCGUCCUGCCGAGUCCCUCUCCAUCCCCACGGCGUCCUGCUUGCCCAGCUUUCAUCCAUGGCCGGAGCCCUCCCAUGUCACGUCCCAGCCAAGCCCCUGCCUCGAUCCCUGUUCGGGCCUGGCGGUUGCGCUGCUCUGGUGCCCAGGUUCUAGCGCGCUCGUUAUCAGCUCGACAUCUCCUCGAGCUCGCCCCUGUCUUCCUGCUCGGCGCCCAAAUUCCUGCUCGCCUUUGCGUCGCGCGCGUAGCGUUCCGUUGUUCCUACGUGUGCUGCCGCGAAGCUCUCUAUUCAGUUCGCCUCCAUCGCGUUGUCGUGCGCGCGAAAUUGCUCGCUCCCCACUAUCGUCGUUUCCUCGUGCCCGCUGGUCGUGCGCCCCUGCAGCUCCCUAUUCGGCAAAAUGUGUGGACCAGUGCUCAUCGCGUGUUGGGAAGAUCGGCACCGAUGUUCUUGCCAAAUAUUGAUUGUUUGAUUUUGGGGAGAUCGACGCACGCAUGGUGUUCGAUGAAUGGCUCAAACCGGAUAGCCUUGUCGAAAUCAUAGCUCCGAGUCGAUUCGGACAUGGUACGUGAAUUAACCACGCGAUGCGGAGAACCAGAACUGAUCGACCACAAGAUGGUGCUGAUGAACGGAACUGGAGAUGGACAGACGAAGCAAGUAUCGGGACAAAGGAUGGUCUUCAAGUGAUCGACACCUAACAAACACUAACCUAGUGUUACCCAGGUACGUGAAUUAACCACGCGAUGCGGAGAACCAGAACUGAUCGACCACAAGAUGGUGCUGAUGAACGGAACUGGAGAUGGACAGACGAAGCAAGUAUCGGGACAAAGGAUGGUCGUCAAGUGAUCGACACCUAACAAACACUAACCUAGUGUUACCCAGGUUCUAACCUUAUGCUGCUGUGAUGGUGUUAAGUGCCGGUGGGCUCGGCCUUCUUAUAAGUCUAAGUACUUCUUCUAUACUUCUUAUUGAGGAUGGUCCCAUGAGCUAGCAUAUAUUUCAAACUUAUACUUUUGUAACCACUCCGAUAAAAUAAUGUAAAUUUUUUGUAACUUGUAAAAUUUGGUAAUAGUAUUUCCGCUGCAAAAAUUAUUGGUGUGUGUGAUUUGUGUUACUUAAUCCCGCGGUUCUGGUUGUAAGUGGUUUAUCCAAUGUCCUUGGGGCAAUCGGACGGAUCCUGUUAAGUUAUAUGGUGCACAUGCAUGCCAUCUGAGGUCUUCGAGACGAGGACAGGUGCAUGUGGGCCCAAUAACUUGGGAGGUUCUGCCACAGUAACGGCCGUCAGCUAAAGACGACUGCAGACGGUCCUUUGCCGAGCGUCUAGGUUUGCCGAGUGUUUCCCUGUGUCGAGUGUCCGCCGGACUAGCGCUCGGCAACGAGGUCGCCAGCGGGCCCCUUUGUCAGCACCUUUGCCGAGUGCACUAGGAGGCACUCGGCAAAGGUUGUUUCUUUGCCGAGUGCCGAG
rnacentral:misc_RNA from 1 species